GCGCUACAUCAGAAAUUCCUCUUGUGCUAUAGUACGCAUGUGUUGUGUUUGUGUCGAGGCGUGGCCGUCGGAAGGAGUGCGCUCAGUCGGAGAGAACAAAUGAUGAUGCGAGAUCAGUACUCCUAACACCCUAUCUCUUGUCCAAGCCAUAAACCUCACUCUGAUACUAAUUGUUGGAAAGGUCCCAAUGAUCUGACCGAACCGAGAUCCACGUGAAUUCAUAGGGAGUACAGAGCGGUGUUCCUGCAGCCUCGUGGCCACUCUGGUGCUUGAACAUAAGCUUGCUACUUAAAGCCCAGGUUCGUCCGAUCCAUGGCCUCCUUUCAGCUCCACUACCGAAGAUGAUUGCACAGCGUAUUCAAAAAAUAAUUUAUAAAUAAAUUUUUUAUACAGCGAUGUGAAAGGCAAGGCUAGAA